AUGCCGAGUGAAGGUUGUAGGGACACUUUGGCAACUUCGAAACAAGAUAUUAUUAGAUCUAAUUCAUUUCGUCUCAAAUGCCUUGGCCGUGGAAUCCCUCGCCAUCGCCGCGCGCUCGAGUGGAGAGGAGAAGCGGAGGAGACUGAGAAGGAGAAAGGGGAUCUAGGGUCCCGGCCUCUGCCUCCAAAUAUUUUAUACCACGAGAUGAAUCGCAAGCCGGAUCCCAUGCCGCAGAUCUCUGGAUCGACGGCCCGUAGGGUUAAGGACCCAUCAUUUGGGACCCACAUGGGGCCCAUCACCACCAUAGGUAGGUCCCUGGACCAUGCCAGCAUUCGGAUGCUUACAUUAGGAAGUCCGCUCGAACAGCUCGGCGGCACUCGGACGACCACACUCCCUCCCAGCCGCCGCCGUGCCACCCAGGGUUCAGGCAGGAGCCGCCGCGCCCCCGGCCUUGUGCCGCCCGCAGCAUGCCGCGCCGCCGUGCCACGAGGGAGCAGGAGGCCCCGUGACCUCGGAAUCCUGCCUGCCAUGCUGCGCGCCGCGUCGCCGAGGGAGCAGGAGCCGCCGCCGCCGCCCUUCAUCACGUCCUCCGCCUCCCUCACUCCGUCGCCGCGAGCUACCUCACCCGCCAGAUCCACUCGAUCUAGACAAGCCGCUACCACAUCUUGCUCAAGGGAACUGGACUGCGUGUUUGAUCUGAGCGUAUCUGGAGGUGUGCUAAAGACUGAAGCAUCACCACCGUUGUUUCCUCGUGCACCGCAGGCGCUCAUCGACAUGCAAUCUUUUUUUUUGCUGGGGACCCAGAAUCUGGAGCUCGCGUCCAUCAACCUGAUCGAUAUGUUCCUCCUUGCAUUUUCGGUUAAACAUUGUCAAGCACUUCAGCCACCUCACUUGCCUUUGACUCCCUGCAAUCGAGACCCCAAGACACUGGCAAGCCUGAUUAUAUGGAAGCACAUGGUUAAUGCUCUAUUGCGGUAUAUGCAUGCAAGGCACUGCUUGGACUUUGGAUUGGCUUGCAUUUAUGGGCAUGUUUUAAAUAGGGAAGAAACCUUUGACAUGGUGCAGGUGGGCAUGUCCGUGGGCACGACAAUAGUUGAAAAAGGAAUGUUCAGGGGUUGUGCAUUAGCUACACUACAAUCAAGUUCAUGCUCCUCCAGAGCUGGCUUGUGGAUACCGUGUGAAGCGCGUUCAAGAUUAGAUAGUGAUUUAUGGUAUCUCCUAUUUUCGUCAGGAAAUGCGCUAUUGUUACCACAGCCGCGCCAGUAUCAAGUUCGUACCAACGCUUCCGGUCAGUCCCACUCCGACGCCAACACGGCGAGGCCACCGCCUCGUGCGAGCUUGAUAUACAGCAUAGCGCCUCUCCUCUUUUUCAGCGUAGAUCUUCUCCGCGACCACCGCCAAAGAGGCAAAGACCAAGCCAUGCCGGCUCUCAUGGCGAAGCGAGCGUCGUCGGAGCGGUGUGCGAUCCGCCGGGAGCUCCACCGGCGCAGGAAGCUCGCCGCCGCGCCCAAAGGCGGAAGCGGGAUCAUCAGCAAGGCCGCGUCGAUCCAGAGCACGUCGUCCGCGCACGUGACCGAGAAGCCAUCGUCCCUGCACGCGCCCGCCUACGCACCGACGGCGACGGGAGAGGUCACCAAGAGCAAGAGGAGGUGCACCGCCCCGGCCGCGCCGGCUCCAUCUCCAGCUGCCACUAUGGGCAUGGAGACGUCGACCCAACAGACGAGAUCAAGGGCAGAGCAAGUGAAGAAGAAGAAGAUGCCAUCUUCGUCGGUCCGGGUGAAAAAGGGCAUGACGGUGAAGGUGCGCACGCGCGCCGGGGUCCUGCCGACGGGGCACUGCCUCCUGCUCUGGCUCGCCGCCCGCGUCGUCUCCGACGCAGCAGCAGAUGACGGCUUCCUCCAAGUGAUCUACAACGGCAACUUCCCCCGCGACGACCCCCUCCGAACCGUGCGCGUCGCCAUGGACGACGUCAGGAGCAUGCCCGCCGUCGUCGAGAGUUAG
rnacentral:rRNA from 1 species